rnacentral:rRNA from 1 species
CCUACGGGCGGCUGCAGUGAGGAAUAUUGGUCAAUGGGCGCAAGCCUGAACCAGCCAUGUCGCGUGCAGGACGACUGCCCUAUGGGUUGUAAACUGCUUUUGUAUGGGAAGAAACGACGGUACGCGUACUGUUUUGCCGGUACCAUACGAAUAAGGAUCGGCUAACUCCGUGCCAGCAGCCGCGGUAAUACGGAGGAUCCGAGCGUUAUCCGGAUUUAUUGGGUUUAAAGGGUGCGUAGGCGGGAGAUUAAGUCAGUGGUGAAAGUUUGCGGCUCAACCGUAAAAUUGCCAUUGAUACUGGUUUUCUUGAGUACAGUUGAGGUAGGCGGAAUGUGGUGUGUAGCGGUGAAAUGCAUAGAUAUACCACAGAACACCGAUUGCGAAGGCAGCUUACUAAGUUGUAACUGACGCUGAAGCACGAAAGCGUGGGGAUCAAACAGGAUUAGAUACCCCGGUAGUC